rnacentral:rRNA from 1 species
CAAUAGCGUAUAUUAAAGUUGUUGCAGUUAAAAAGCUCGUAGUUGAAUUUUUGCUUGCCGCCGAUGUCGGAACUUCCGUACGUUCGGCGGCGUGCAUCCUUGGGUGGAACCUGUGUGGCAUUAGGUUGUCGUGCAGGGGAUGCUCAUCGUUUACUGUGAAAAAAUUAGAGUGUUCAAAGCAGGCUUACGCCGUUGAAUAUAUUAGCAUGGAAUAAUAAGAUAGGACCUUGGUACUAUUUUGUUGGUUUGCGCACCGAGGUAAUGAUUAACAGGGACAGUUGGGGGUAUUCGCAUUCCAUUGUCAGAGGUGAAAUUCUUGGAUUUCUGGAAGACGAACUACUGCGAAAGCAUUUACCAAGGAUGUUUNCAUUAA